rnacentral:rRNA from 1 species
GUCCACGCCGUAAAACGAUGACUGCUAGGUGUCGGGGUGGCAAAGCCAUUCGGUGCCGCAGCUAACGCAAUAAGCAGUCCACCUGGGGAGUACGUUCGCAAGAAUGAAACUCAAAGGAAUUGACGGGGGACCCGCACAAGCGGUGGAGCAUGUGGUUUAAUUCGAAGCAACGCGAAGAACCUUACCUGAUCUUGACAUCCCGAUGACCGCUUCGCAAUGGAAGCUUUUCUUCGGAACAUCGGUGACAGGUGGUGCAUGGUUGUCGU